AUUUUUAUAGUUUAAAUAAAACAUUAAAUUGCAAAUUUAAAAAUUUAAAUUUAAUUUUAUAAAAAUU
rnacentral:tRNA from 1 species